ensembl:miRNA
UGCACUGACAGUAAGGCCCCUUCCUGUGCUUUCCUCGGCAGGGGAGAAAUAUGAACUGCAUGCAGGAACCGAGUCCACCCCCAGU